rnacentral:rRNA from 1 species
AGUGAACGCUGGCGGUAGGCCUAACACAUGCAAGUCGAACGGCAGCACAGUAAGAGCUUGCUCUUACGGGUGGCGAGUGGCGGACGGGUGAGGAAUACAUCGGAAUCUACUUUUUCGUGGGGGAUAACGUAGGGAAACUUACGCUAAUACCGCAUACGACCUACGGGUGAAAGCAGGGGAUCUUCGGACCUUGCGCGAUUGAAUGAGCCGAUGUCGGAUUAGCUAGUUGGCGGGGUAAAGGCCCACCAAGGCGACGAUCCGUAGCUGGUCUGAGAGGAUGAUCAGCCAAACUGGAACUGAGACACGGUCCAGACUCCUACGGGAGGCAGCAGUGGGGAAUAUUGGACAAUGGGGGCAAGCCUAGUCCAGCCAUACCGCGUGGGUGAAGAAGGCCUUCGGGUUGUAAAGCCCUUUUGUUGGGAAAGAAAAGCAGCAGGUUAAUACCCCGCUGUUCUGACGGUACCCAAAGAAUAAGCACCGGCGAACUUCG